rnacentral:tRNA from 1 species
CCGGCGGGAGCCGUGGCGGGGGCGGGGGGCACCGCCGGUGUGCCGGGAACCGGGACGGGAGUGCCCGCGCCCGUUCCGGCUCCGGUCCCGUCGGA